CACGUAGACGGCUCCUUAAGUCAGGGGUGAAAUCCUGGAGCUCAACUCCAGAACUGCCUUUGAUACUGAGGAGCUCGAGUCCGGGAGAGGUGAGUGGAACUGCGAGUGUAGAGGUGAAAUUCGUAGAUAUUCGCAAGAACACCAGUGGCGAAGGCGGCUCACUGGCCCGGUACUGACGCUGAGGUGCGAAAGCGUGGGGAGCAAACA
rnacentral:rRNA from 1 species